rnacentral:rRNA from 1 species
GAAGAAGGCCUUCGGGUUGUAAAGCCCUUUUGUUGGGAAAGAAAUCCAGCUGGCUAAUACCCGGUGGGGAUGACGG